rnacentral:sRNA from 1 species
UCAUUAAAUCUUUAAUUUUCGUAACAGC